GGAGGAACAGUUACCAACCUCUGCCAGGACUGGUGAUUCUACAUCGAGCUCUUGCUGGAGAAGGAGCCUGCAAGCCCUGCUCUCUCUCUUGGUGGGAGAGAGAUAUUUUGGAUACUGUCCAGUGCAGAGACAGCACCACGGCUGAGGAUGGCCGGACCAUUACAAAAGGAACCCACAGAGAAGUAGAGGCACCAGCCAAAAGCAAUGUUAACCACAAUCACUGUGAUUGCUAUUUUUGGUUGUCAACUUGACUACAUCUGGAAUCAACUAAAACCCAAUGGCUUGGCACAACUGUGAGGGACUUUUUUUUCUUAAGUAAAUCCUUUGAGCUCUGGAUCUUUGAGGUGGGAAGAUACACCUUUAAUGGAGGUCACACUUUCUGCUGGCAGCCUACAAAAAGGAGAUGAAGAAGGAAAUUUUGCUGUUGUUGUUAGCAAAUCCAUUCCUUCACUGGCACUGAAGCCGGCUUCUUCAGGAUUCUGGUAUGUAAUGCUGAAGACCAG
rnacentral:lncRNA from 1 species